rnacentral:rRNA from 1 species
GACUCUUGGAAACGGAUAUCUCGGCUCUCGCAUCGAUGAAGAACGUAGCAAAAUGCGAUACUUGGUGUGAAUUGCAGAAUCCCGUGAACCAUCGAGUCUUUGAACGCAAGUUGCGCCCGAAGCCAUCCUGGUCGAGGGCACGCCUGCCUGGGCGUCACGCGCAA